UACGGAGGGUGCAAGCGUUAUCCGGAUUCACUGGGUUUAAAGGGUGCGUAGGUGGGUUGGUAAGUCAGUGGUGAAAUCUCCGAGCUUAACUUGGAAACUGCCAUUGAUACUAUCAGUCUUGAAUAUUGUGGAGGUCAGCGGAAUAUGUCAUGUAGCGGUGAAAUGCUUAGAUAUGACAUAGAACACCAAUUGCGAAGGCAGCUGGCUACGCAUAUAUUGACACUGAGGCACGAAAGCGUGGGGGAUCAAACAGG
rnacentral:rRNA from 1 species